GGCAAGCUCGCGGCAGAAAUCGACAUAUUGCUCCACGAGCAGGAUCGCCAUACCGGUCGAAUCCC
rnacentral:sRNA from 1 species